rnacentral:rRNA from 1 species
GACGAACCGUGCGAACGUUGUUCGGAAUCACUGGGCUUAAAGGGCGCGUAGGCGGCGCAUCAAGUCCGGGGUGAAAGCCCCCAGCUUAACUGGGGAAGUGCCUCGGAUACUGGUGCGCUCGAGGGAGGUAGGGGCGGAUGGAACUUCCGGUGGAGCGGUGAAAUGCGUUGAUAUCGGAAGGAACGCCGGUGGCGAAAGCGAUCCGCUGGCCCUCUUCUGACGCUGAGGCGCGAAAGCCAGGGGAGCAAACGGG